AUUUUGGCAGAAUUUAUUAUAGAUAACAUUGCGUUUCUGGUGGCAUUACAAAGGAUGAAAGCUCCAUUAACCUGUUAAGCACAGAGGGUAUAAAAAUGGUAAUUGGUAGAAAAUCGUGGAGACCAGCGGGGAGGUUUUGCCGCAGUGCUGUGUCCUCUGUAGGUGAGGGAGAAGCAGGUAGCUGUUGCUGCUGGAGGUCAGCUCCAUGUCAUUCCAGCCUGGGUCUCUUAUGGAAACUUCUGAAAAGGAGAAGUUUUCCUUUGCAUUUACAAACAGAACAGGAGAUGAGCUUUCUGCAGUCAGAGGCCGUCCUGCUACUGUGUUUCAAGAAUUCCCAAGGAAGGAAAGUGGACCGAGGGGUGAUGGAAGAGAAGAUCAAAGCUGCAGCUGGGACUGGGUGCCAGUGCUGUCAGCUUCAAACACUGGUGUGCCGUUGAGGAAGACAAG
ensembl:lncRNA